rnacentral:rRNA from 1 species
CUACUCCUACGGGAGGCAGCAGUGGGGAAUAUUGCACAAUGGGCGCAAGCCUGAUGCAGCAACGCCGCGUGAGGGACGACGGCCUUCGGGUUGUAAACCUCUUUUAGCAGGGAAGAAGCGAAAGUGACGGUACCUGCAGAAAAAGCGCCGGCUAACUACGUGCCAGCAGCCGCGGUAAUACGUAGGGCGCAAGCGUUAUCUGGAAUUAUUGGGCGUAAAGAGCUCGUAGGCGGUUUGUCGCGUCUGCUGUGAAAACCCGAGGCUCAACCUCGGGCCUGCAGUGGGUACGGGCAGACUAGAGUGCGGUAGGGGAGAUUGGAAUUCCUGGUGUAGCGGUGGAAUGCGCAGAUAUCAGGAGGAACACCGAUGGCGAAGGCAGAUCUCUGGGCCGUAACUGACGCUGAGGAGCGAAAGGGUGGGGAGCAAACAGGCUUAGAUACCCUGGUAGUCCACCCCGUAAACGUUGGGAACUAGUUGUGGGGACCAUUCCACGGUCUCCGUGACGCAGCUAACGCAUUAAGUUCCCCGCCUGGGGAGUACGGCCGCAAGGCUAAAACUCAAAGGAAUUGACGGGGACCCGCACAAGCGGCGGAGCAUGCGGAUUAAUUCGAUGCAACGCGAAGAACCUUACCAAGGCUUGACAUAUACGAGAACGCUGCAGAAUAUGUUGAGC